GAUGAACGCUGGCGGCGUGCCUAAUACAUGCAAGUCGAGCGAACGGACGAGAAGCUUGCUUCUCUGAUGUUAGCGGCGGACGGGUGAGUAACACAUGGAUAACCUACCUAUAAGACUGGGAUAACUUCGGGAAACCGGAGCUAAUACCGGAUAAUAUUUUGAACCGCAUGGUUCAAAAGUGAAAGACGGUCUUGCUGUCACUUAUAGAUGGAUCCGCGCUGCAUUAGCUAGUUGGUAAGGUAACGGCUUACCAAGGCAACGAUGCAUAGCCGACCUGAGAGGGUGGUCGGCCACACUGGAACUGAGACACGGUCCAGACUCCUACGGGAGGCAGCAGUAGGGAAUCUUCCGCAAUGGGCGAAAGCCUGACGGAGCAACGCCGCGUGAGUGAUGAAGGUCUUCGGAUCGUAAAACUCUGUUAUUAGGGAAGAACAUAUGUGUAAGUAACUGUGCACAUCUUGACGGUACCUAAUCAGAAAGCCACGGCUAACUACGUG
rnacentral:rRNA from 1 species